CCGGCGCACGGGUGAGUAACACGUAUGCAACCUGCCUGCCACAGCCGAUAAUCGGGAGAAAUUCCGUCUAAUACGGCAUAAUGCAUCGACGGGACAUCCUGUUGGUGCCAAAGGUUAAUUCCGGCUACGGAUGGUCAUGCGUCGCAUUAGCUUGUUGGCGGGGUAACGGCCCACCAAGGCGACGAUGCGUAGGGGUUCUGAGAGGAAGGUCCCCCACACUGGUACUGAGACACGGACCAGACUCCUACGGAAGGCAGCAG
rnacentral:rRNA from 1 species